rnacentral:lncRNA from 1 species
AAUAACCUUCAGACAGGCCUCCCUGGAGUUUUUCAGGCAUUGACCAGUUUUUCUUCCUUGUUUAUGGAGGCACUUCAAUUGGUAUGCAACCGUUCCUACGCCAUCAAAUAGCAUACAUAAUUUUUCUACUUGGAUCUUCGCGUUAAGCUGGGAUUUCAUAAGGGCUGGGAAUUUUUUGGCUGUGAGCUCUUAUGAUUAUUGUCAUUAUUUUCUUGGGGGGGUUUUUGACAUGUAAAUAUAUGGAACUUUUUUGCGGUUUGGUCAUCCUUCUAAGUUUAAAGAGAGUGAAAUGUCUCUCUGUACAGGAAUUUGCUUGGAUUGUAGUAUCAGGGUUUCACAAUUUCAGCAUGAUUAAUAAAUUAAUACUUCUUUUUCCUCAUGAUUUUUGCUUUCACUGUUCUAGCUCCUUGCAUUCGUUACUUUGUACUGUGGAAUCAAUUAUAGCUUGACCACUAACCUUCUACGGAAAAAACCUGAAUUAACAAUUUGGAUAAUGAAUUUUUAAAAAUUUUAGAGAAUGAGUAAUUUGGAGAAUUACCUGUAAACAGGAGGAAAAAAAAAUCGGGCAUCUCAAAUUACUUGAAUUAUAUUUUUAAUUUAUUUUUAAAUUUUUGAAAUUAAUGUGCUUGUGAUUUUCCUUAAAUCUAAUUUUGGAGAGUCAAAACUUUUCUAGGAUCUAAUCUUAUUUGUCCAGUUAAUUAAGAAUUUUAGAGGAAUUUUGGCUAAACAAUUAGUGGGUUCAAGAUUCAGGUUAUCCAAAUUAUCCGAAAUAUAAAUAAGAUAAAAUGUAAUUCAAAAAAUUAAAACUUAUUUUAAGUCAGAGAAUUUACAUAAAAAAAUAAAAUUCGGAUAAUUCAAAAAACUAUCUGAAAUAGCUCCUUUUUAUCCAAUACUUACCUCUACCAGCUCAUGAGCACACUUUUUAAUGGAGGACAUGCUUAAAAUCAGUUGAAAAUAGACUUUAUAAUAAUAAUGUAUAAAAAUUGGUUAAAAUAUUUAAAGUAUUAGAAUUCUUAAACCCUAAAAUUACAGCUGCAACUGUAAGUAAAUAAAGAGAAAACUCUAUAUUUUCUGAAAAGUUUAUGAUUCAAUAAUUUACCAAAAAAAAAAUAACACACCCGACCUAACAAAAAAAAAAUAAAGUCAAAUAAAAAGAGUGAUUAAAAUUCAAAAUUAAUAAGAAAAAUAAUUGAAAAAAACAAGAUUUUCUAGAUCUAAUUUGAAGAUCUUCCGGACCUAGCUGGUUACAGCAAACCACCCUCUUAUAAAAUUAAGUCUGGCAAAAUAUGAACACGAUCCAACAAUCAAAUAUAAAGCCAGGCUACAUGUUCUGACUUGUAACACAUUUGAUGUCAUCUAAUCAUUGAAAUGAAAUAAAAAUAUAUACCAAUUUGAAAUUGUUUCUCAGAAGAAUCCCUUUUCCAUUCAAAUCCAGUGAUGCAAGGCAAUUAAAAAAUAAAGUGAAAAAAAAAGGAAGACAAAGUGGUUUAGAUUUGAGAAUCCCAUGCACGUUAUACAGCUUCAUUGCAGAAAUCUAAUUAAAUUAACUUAUAAUUUUAGCUUUUUAAAGCCAAUGAUCUUACAUUUCACCGGCAAGCAAUAAACCUAACGAAUAAUAAUAUAAUUGAACAGCCAGUUUAGUGGUCAGGUCCUCACUCAUUCACUGCAACAUAUAUUAUAUAUAUAGCAUUCUGCACUGACGAUGUUGCUUGUUGAAAAGCAAACCUCGGUCAUCUUCUUCGGUCAUCUUCUCCAACUACAAUUAUUAGAUUAUUUACCUUCUGGGAAAAAAAAUCCAGUUACUUUAUGUAUUUUCUUACCUUGGAUCUGAAGCCCUCUGCACGUCUUCUUUGUAUAACAGCAAGAAUCAGAUCCUACCAAGCACUUGAUGUCUGUUAUGGAAUCAAAUGCUUGCUAACUUGCUUGACUUAAAUAAUCCUGUUGCUGGACUAGAAGAUGAUGGGGUGGGUUAAAA